ensembl:snoRNA SNORD57 small nucleolar RNA SNORD57
UGUAAGUGAUGAGACAUCUUUCCCUGACAUCUCAGUGAGGGUAAAAGCUGAUUUAAUGAGCCUGAUGC